rnacentral:rRNA from 1 species
UGCAGUCGACGAUGAACCUCCUUCGGGAGGGGAUUAGUGGCGAACGGGUGAGUAACACGUGGGCAAUCUGCCCUGCACUCUGGGACAAGCCCUGGAAACGGGGUCUAAUACCGGAUACGACUCGGGAGGGCAUCCUUCCGGGUGGAAAGCUCCGGCGGUGCAGGAUGAGCCCGCGGCCUAUCAGCUUGUUGGUGGGGUGAUGGCCUACCAAGGCGACGACGGGUAGCCGGCCUGAGAGGGCGACCGGCCACACUGGGACUGAGACACGGCCCAGACUCCUACGGGAGGCAGCAGUGGGGAAUAUUGCACAAUGGGCGAAAGCCUGAUGCAGCGACGCCGCGUGAGGGAUGACGGCCUUCGGGUUGUAAACCUCUUUCAGCAGGGAAGAAGCGCAAGUGACGGUACCUGCAGAAGAAGCGCCGGCUAACUACGUGCCAGCAGCCGCGGUAAUACGUAGGGCGCAAGCGUUGUCCGGAAUUAUUGGGCGUAAAGAGCUCGUAGGCGGCUUGUCGCGUCGGAUGUGAAAGCUCGGGGCUUAACCCCGGGUCUGCAUUCGAUACGGGCAGGCUAGAGUGUGGUAGGGGAGAUCGGAAUUCCUGGUGUAGCGGUGAAAUGCGCAGAUAUCAGGAGGAACACCGGUGGCGAAGGCGGAUCUCUGGGCCAUUACUGACGCUGAGGAGCGAAAGCGUGGGGAGCGAACAGGAUUAGAUACCCUGGUAGUCCACGCCGUAAACGUUGGGAACUAGGUGUUGGCGACAUUCCACGUCGUCGGUGCCG